AAGCGAAGGCCCCAGCAGAGGGGGUAAAUCUCCAUAGUUGAGAUCUCUCUAACGAUCUCUAACGAUCAUAUCAUUCCCUUCGCAGAGGAAACUUGGCCGUUUCGUAGGCGCAUGAACGAUUUUUAGGUUUUUCAUGGCGUCUGAACCCACGGCUACAUUGCA